UGAGGAACCUCAAGAUUUACCACGAUCAUCAAUCGCAGUGAAUAGCUACCCAUGCAAAUAUGAAGAUGUGAUCUUCAUAUUUUCUAUUUUUGUAUUUUAAUUUUAGAUCUUAAAAACAUGAUCUCGACCUGGGUGUAUGAGAUACGAUUUCAUAUACGAGCGUGUCGGAUUGGAUCCUUUCUACUGCAAUAAUUUUCGAUCGGGACCCGAUGCGCAUGGUGGAAAAUUUCCUUCAGAUGUGACAUGUGUCUCCCACAAUAUCGUAUUAGCUGACCUGACAUACUCCCUUCAUUCGACUU
rnacentral:lncRNA from 1 species